rnacentral:rRNA from 1 species
CACGUAGUUAGCCGGUGCUUUUUCUGCAGGUACCGUCACUUUCGCCUCUUCCCUACUAAAAGAGGUUUACAACCCGAAGGCCGUCAUCCCUCACGCGGCGUUGCUGCAUCAGGCUUUCGCCCAUUGUGCAAUAUUCCCCACUGCUGCCUCCCGUAGGAGUCUGGGCCGUGUCUCAGUCCCAGUGUGGCCGGUCACCCUCUCAGGCCGGCUACCCGUCGUCGCCUUGGGUGAGCCAUUACCUCACCAACAAGCUGAUAGGCCGUGAGCCGAUCCAUAACCAAAAAAUCUUUCCAAACACAGACCAUGCGAUCGUGUUAGAUAUCCAGUAUUAGCCACCGUUUCCGGAGGUUAUCCCAGAGUUAUGGGCACGUUGCUCACGUGUUACUCACCCGUUCGCCACUAAUCCACCCAGCAAGCUGGGCUUCAUCGUUCGACUUGCAUGUGUUAAGCACGCCGCCAGCGUUCGUCUGAGCAGGAUCAAACUCU